AUUGAACGCUGGCGGCAGGCCUAGCACAUGCAAGUCGAGCGGAUGAAGGGAGCUUGCUCCUGGAUUCAGCGGCGGACGGGUGAGUAAUGCCUAGGAAUCUGCCUGGUAGUGGGGGAUAACGUCCGGAAACGGGCGCUAAUACCGCAUACGUCCUGAGGGAGAAAGUGGGGGAUCUUCGGACCUCACGCUAUCAGAUGAGCCUAGGUCGGAUUAGCUAGUUGGUGGGGUAAAGGCCUACCAAGGCGACGAUCCAUAACUGGUCUGAGAGGAUGAUCAGUCACACUGGAACUGAGACACGGUCCAGACUCCUACGGGAGGCAGCAGUGGGGAAUAUUGGACAAUGGGCGAAAGCCUGAUCCAGCCAUGCCGCGUGUGUGAAGAAGGUCUUCGGAUUGUAAAGCACUUUAAGUUGGGAGGAAGGGCAGUAAGUUAAUACCUUGCUGUUUUGACGUUACCAACAGAAUAAGCACCGGCUAACUUCGUG
rnacentral:rRNA from 1 species